CCUGCAGUAUUCUGUUUACCAGACUUUCCACCAGAAUUAAAAGCUGCUCUGCUGAGAAAGGAUCCUGCCUUUAAAAAGAAGGAUAAAUCACAUUUGCGUGCACUGUUGAUUCAAGUGUUGUUUGACAACAUCACUAAACACACAUGGUAUCCCAGUCACAAAAUGUACGGAGACGUUCUGGGUACCCUGACAAUGAAAUAUCCUUUUUUAAAGGAUGGCAGCUCUUCUGGACAUGCAACACUAUUGGAAUGUUUGCGUAACAAAUUUAAGAAGGAGAGAAGGCCUCUUCUGAAUUCAGCUGUAGUGGAAGAGAUGAAAGUCAAAUAUGGCUCAAAGAAGAGGACCUCCGCCCAGAUGACUGACUGCCAUU